rnacentral:rRNA from 1 species
CUACGGGCUGCUGCAGUGGGGAAUAUUGCACAAUGGGCGCAAGCCUGAUGCAGCCAUGCCGCGUGUAUGAAGAAGGCCUUCGGGUUGUAAAGUACUUUCAGCGGGGAGGAAGGGAGUAAAGUUAAUACCUUUGCUCAUUGACGUUACCCGCAGAAGAAGCACCGGCUAACUCCGUGCCAGCAGCCGCGGUAAUACGGAGGGUGCAAGCGUUAAUCGGAAUUACUGGGCGUAAAGCGCACGCAGGCGGUUUGUUAAGUCAGAUGUGAAAUCCCCGGGCUCAACCUGGGAACUGCAUCUGAUAUGGGGAAGCUAGAGUCUCGUAGAGGGGGGUAGAAUUCCAGGUGUAGCGGUGAAAUGCGUAGAGAUCUGGAGGAAUACCGGUGGCGAAGGCGGCCCCCUGGACGAAGACUGACGCUCAGGUGCGAAAGCGUGGGGAGCAAACAGGAUUAGAUACCCGUGUAGUC